AACGGGGGGGGCAAGCGUUGUUCGGAAUUACUGGGCGUAAAGGGCUCGUAGGCGGCCAACUAAGUCGGAUGCGAAAUCCCCAGGCUCAACCUGGGAACUGCAUCCGAUACUGGAUGGCUUGAAUUCGGGAGAGGGAUGCAGAAUUCCAGGUGUAGCGGUGAAAUGCGUAGAUAUCUGGAGGAAUACCGGUGGCGAAGGCGGCAUCCUGGACCGACAUUGACGCUGAUGAGCGAAAGCUAGGGGAGCAAACGGG
rnacentral:rRNA from 1 species